UUUCUCUCUAGAUUUGCUCACUCUCCCUAGUACUGUGCAGCAAUUUUUACUCUUUUUAAAACCUGCUCUCCUAGAGGCAAAGCCAGCAUUGCUCAUUGGCACAGCUUAGGCCAGUGACAGAUCCAUUUUGGAGCAGCUGGAACUGACUCCAAUCUGACAUGGAGUAGCUGCCGGGCUCUGCUUACAGAGGCCACCCCUGAAGUACCCUUUGCCACCAAAACCUUUCCCAUAAACACAGCGCAGAAAGUGAUAUGUAACAGUAGAAAAUAUGGAGGUUGUAGCAUAAGUAAUGAUGAUUUAACUUAUUUUAAAAUGUAAUGAAGAGAUAUGCCUUUUAUCUUCUUUGGGCUGGUUGCAGAGUGCUUUGGUACAGUUUGCAAUUAUGAGUAUUUUGGUUGCAGCCUUUUUUUUUUUUUUUUUUUUUUUUUUUUUUUUGCCAGGGCACAUAACUGCAUUGUUCUAGACCUUAUUUUUCCUUAUUUUUCUUCAAAUAACUCCAGUGAUGAUAUUGACCUCUUCUCUGUACUGGUUUGGGUUUUUAAUAAUGCUUUGAGAGUGGGAUUACUUUCAUUUGGUAUGAGAGAGUCAUCUUCGAUUCCAGUUACUGUUAUUGGGAACACACAGAAAUUUUCAGGGUCUGUUAUGAUUCCAACUUCCCCAAGCCCUUAAAGACAGACAGAAGUAAGCUGAGCUGUGCAUGGAACGUGACAUGGGAGCAGUGCAGAGGUUUAUGCACCGGUAAUAUUUGAACAUCAGUCCUUUGCGCUGAGGAAAUAUAAUAUUCAUGUUGAAAUUUUCAGUCUUCAGUUGUAGCCUGAGAAGGAGCUCCUACAAACAUCUUGGUGCCUAAAAAUAAGAAGCAUUACAAGUUUUCUGUGCUAUUUGGAAAUCUAAGACUGUCAAGAGCAGCAGUAAGACCUCUGUAGCCGGUGAGCUAAAGGUAAACAUAUAUUUCUCACAGAUACAUGUAUUCCAACAGCUUCAGGCAAGGGGUUUCUUCACUCAGCAAGUACUACUGUUUUGUCAGUGAAUCGCAUCUAGUUUGCUUUCACUCAAAUAGUGCUCUGUUUCCUAUACUAGGUACCUACUGAAGUUCUGGAAUCUGAAUAUGGUGAAAAGGUAAAUAUACACCCUGAAUUACCUCAGGAAGGCUGAUGGCAUACAUAAUGUUCCAUCUUCUAUGAUUUGCCUCAAAGUUGCACAGCUACUCAUUGUGAUAGGCAACUGUGAAUUAUCUGACAGCAUUUGCUGUUCUUUUCCCCCAGCAAUAAAUGUAAAUCAAGAUAAGAUUCCA
rnacentral:lncRNA from 1 species